rnacentral:rRNA from 1 species
AACGAACGCUGGCGGCAUGCCUAACACAUGCAAGUCGAACGAGACCUUCGGGUCUAGUGGCGCACGGGUGCGUAACGCGUGGGAACCUGCCCUUAGGUUCGGAAUAACUCCCCGAAAGGGGUGCUAAUACCGGAUAAUGUCUUCGGACCAAAGAUUUAUCGCCUUUGGAUGGGCCCGCGUUGGAUUAGCUAGUUGGGAGGGUAAAAGCCUACCAAGGCGAGGAUGCAUAGCUGGUCUGAGAGGAUGAUCAGCCACACUGGGACUGAGACACGGCCCAGACUCCUACGGGAGGCAGCAGUGGGGAAUAUAGGACAAUGGGCGAAAGGAUGAUCCAGCAAUGCCGCGUGAGUGAUGAAGGCCUUAGGGUUGUAAAGCUCUUUUACCCGGGAUGAUAAUGACAGUACCGGGAGAAUAAGCUCCGGCUAACUCCGUG